rnacentral:rRNA from 1 species
UACGUAGGGCGCGAGCGUUGUCCGGAAUUAUUGGGCGUAAAGAGCUCGUAGGCGGCCUGUUGCGUCCGCUGUGAAAUCCCAGGGCUCAACCCUGGGCGUGCAGUGGAUACGGGCAGGCUGGAGGCAGGCAGGGGAGAACGGAAUUCCCGGUGUAGCGGUGAAAUGCGUAGAUAUCGGAAGGAACAUCAGUGGCGAAAGCGGCUUCCUGGACCAGCACCGACGUCAGGCACGAAAGCGUGGGGAGCAAACAGG